rnacentral:rRNA from 1 species
AGGGAAUCUUCCGCAAUGGGCGAAAGCCUGACGGAGCAACGCCGCGUGAGUGAAGAAGGAUUUCGGUUCGUAAAGCUCUGUUGUUAGGGAAGAAUGAUUGUGUAGUAACUAUACACAGUAGAGACGGUACCUAACCAGAAAGCCACGGCUAACUACGUGCCAGCAGCCGCGGUAAUACGUAGGUGGCAAGCGUUGUCCGGAAUUAUUGGGCGUAAAGCGCGCGCAGGUGGUUUAAUAAGUCUGAUGUGAAAGCCCACGGCUCAACCGUGGAGGGUCAUUGGAAACUGUUAAACUUGAGUGCAGGAGAGAAAAGUGGAAUUCCUAGUGUAGCGGUGAAAUGCGUAGAGAUUAGGAGGAACACCAGUGGCGAAGGCGGCUUUUUGGCCUGUAACUGACACUGAGGCGCGAAAGCGUGGGGAGCAAACAGGAUUAGAUACCCUGGUAGCCCACGCCGUAAACGAUGAGUGCUAAGUGUUGGUCUCAUAAGAGAUCAGUGCUGCAGCUAACGCAUUAAGCACUCCGCCUGGGGAGUACGACCGCAAGGUUG